CAACUUUUAACAACGGAUCUCUUGGUUCUCGCAUCGAUGAAGAACGUAGCAAAGUGCGAUAACUAGUGUGAAUUGCAUAUUCAGUGAAUCAUCGAGUCUUUGAACGCAACUUGCGCUCAAUGGUAUUCCAUUGAGCACGCCUGUUUCAGUAUCAAAA
rnacentral:rRNA from 4 species